AAAUAAGAUUACUGCGCAGUUUUCACUUAGCUCGAGUCUUGUACAGUGUUUUUGUUUUUGUUGUUUAUAAAGUAUGACUGGGUACGGAUUGGGUUCUGGGACUACCACUGGUGAUGGUGGCGGUGACGUGAGGGCUGGUGAAGAGGUUGGUGUGUGAUGCGGUGAAAGGGGUACCAACAUUGUAAACGUUAAGUAUAGAUGGUAUAGAGAGACAUAAAGCACCGCAUCUACGGUGAGGGCAGAGGGAGCGACAGCCCAGAGAAGGAUUAUAUUUUGAUUUGAUUGAGAUCGAGGGGAACUGGUGUUAGCACACAACGGAAGUUUCUGGAUUUUUCGAUUUGAAAUGUGGAACUUUAUUUCGAUUUUUGAAUUGAAGAAAAUGUACAUUUUUUCCGAUAUUCAGUAGUAUAAAAAUCCAACAGUCCGUUUUGUCAUACAAAAAAAAUAAAAUCUAGAAGAAAUUAUCCAAUUUUUAAAAAUUUAAGAAAUGCUGCUAAAAUUGGUAAAAAUUUGUUUUCGACCUAAAAUCUAUUUAACAAAACCAGAUUUUCAAACUUAACUGUUUUUGUUUAUAAAAAUUAUUGUUUUUAUUUAUUAAUUUUUAAGAAUAAUUCAACUAACAACUUUUUUACCUAACACGAAAACCUACAAACUUUAAAGCAAGGAAAAACGACAGACUCUUUUUUGUUUUUUUUAAGGGUGUGUAAUAAAAAAAAACUAAUUUUUAGAUAACAAAAAUAAAUCCAAUCAUAAAGCAGGAUUUUACUUUGUGUUACGCAAAUACAUAAAUAAAUGAUCAAAUCUGGAUGACAACAAAAAUAAAACAGGGAUAUUUUCUUGUAAAUUUAAAAGAGUCUUCGUUACGGAGUUGGUAUGAGUCUUUUAGUCGCGGAUUAUGUGGACUAUUAUACCGUCUUCAAUAUUCUUUAGUUCUAGAAUAGCUUUGGUUGUACAUUACACUAAAAAUUACUGCCUAGAGAAAGAUCCAUAUUCUGUUUUUAAAUUAAAAACAACAAUGAUAAACAUGAAUAUUUUGUUAGCAUAAAACUUCUUAUUUUUUUAAAAACCUACAUAUAUAUGUAAAUAAAUAGAGUUUUAAUCAAAAAACUUAUCAAUCAUGAAUUUGCUACCUCGAAUAUUAUACAAAAGAAAUGAUAAAAACCGUUCUUAUACUAUAAAGAAUGACGUUUCUAAAUUCAUAGAAAAAUAGAAUUUCACAAAAUACUACUUUAAAUUGUUAAAAUUGAUAUUCGACUCAAAUAUCUUAAGAACAAGGAACAUAAUUGUUGUGUUGGAGGUUUAUGUUAUAAAUUAGUUUUAACUUCGAAAACAUGAAGAUAUCAGCUUCUUUUGAAAUUAAAAAUACCAAAGCUGAAUUCUGAAUUUCAAAAGAAACGAUAAAAAUUAUUGAAACGCAUUUUAUAUUCCAAGUAGUUUGUUUUCAGUAUAUUUUAGUUGAUACAAAAAUGUAUUAUUCCAAACAUUUUUACACCUGAUAAGGAACAAACUUAUUAUUUUGUUGUACUGAUACAACUUUAAGUUGAUAAUGGGUAGACAUGGAUUGGAAACAAAAUAAAAUGCUUCAUAUAUAAAUUGUCGACUCUCCAUUUCUUACCGUUAUAUACAAAACUAAUGAAAGAUUAAAUGUGUUGUAUAAUGCUUUGAUAUACUUAAUGUAACGUCACAUUAAUUUACAAGCUUAAACAAACCAGUCUAAAAUUAGACCAUUCCUAAAGCACCUCAAAACAAAAUUAUAUUAAUAAACAUUUUUUAAAAUAGUUAUCUACCUAAACUUAGACAAGUUUUAUAAAUAUAAGUGUUUUGUUUUUGUGUGUUCAAUUUUGUAUGUAAUGUUUAUUAAUUGUCACCUAAAUAAGUACAAAUAAAUGAGUAGAAAAAAACGUGUGCUAUCAAAAUUUAUUGACCUAAAUACGAAAUAAAUUUAGGUAAGUGAGUAUACUGAUAGUAAGUAUCAAG